AAUUAUCUUUCUCCCAUCAAAUUUCUGGUACACCUAUUAUGUCAGUAUCCAUUAAAAUCAGGCAUCUAGUUUCUUUUCUCAUUAAUUGCUGUUGUAGUGCUGGCUUAGAAGCAUGUAUAGAUUUGGCUCAGUUUUCUUUUUCCGUGCUGUGUUUAGGUGAGACUUUAUUUGAUUAUUUGCUGUUUGCCAUGUGCUAUCUUAGUUUUGCCAGCUACUUUUUUAGACAAUGUAGAAUUUUUAUUGCUUUAUCUCUACAGGAUGCAUCAUCACGAGCUGUGUAGAGGACAUGCAGAAGACAUCUCCUACCUGUGCCAGUACAGUCUCUAAUUUAAAAAGUCCCCUGUAACAUUUUGGACUGUUAAAUGCUCACUAGCAAUGAACAUUUUCCUUCUGCAAGGUUUUGCCUUGCUUCAACCUCCAUGGUCUCCAAAAAGUCCUGUUUAUUUUAUGCAUGUGAACUUCUCUAUAAAUAAGUAAAAGGCACUGCAACACAGGCAGUUGCUGAUGACCUGCUGCUUUGCCAUUCAUUAUGGGCAUUAUUCUGCAGAUAUCACAGCUGAAGCAAACGAGGUCCUACAGCGCGUUAGAGUAACUCAGCUCGGGCUGCACCAUACCUGUAAAGACUUUGUCCAUCUUUAAAUUCUGAGCCAACACUGACCUUUGAGCCUGUUCCUGAAGCAGCUUCCCAGCAGUCCUCCUCAGGCCAGACACCUCACUUCAGCAGGUGCCACGGGCACUCCAAGUGCUUGGAAAGCGCCUGAGUCACGGCCCCACUGAAGAGCAUCCAGAAAAUUCUGGGGGCACCACAUUGCCUGCAAACCCUCACCCUUCCUUCAGCACAAAUGCUGCUUCCCACUGAUUUCCACUGCGUACAUCCCAGCCUUCACUUACACAAGGAGCUCGGCUGGUCAUGACUCCUCAUCCUCCGGCUCUCACUAUGUUUGGCAGCUGACAUUUGUGCAUUUAUAGAAGGAUGCGGGAGCUCGAAUCCCCACACAGUUCGAGGCAGAGGGAGGAACACCCCUAUGUACGUAUGAAGCUGUGGUGCUAUGCCAGUCAGGGAAUCUAUCAGAUCAUUUGAUGGGACGUAUUUCUAACCUGCUGCUUUCCACUGUGGUGCCAUGGUUUCCAGACAUAAUAUUUGGCCUUAGUUUCUUCCCUUUGAACGUACCCUCCACAGCCUCUCAGAAGUCCUAGUGGGCACAGGUUUGAAGCAACGGCAAAGGGGAGCUAGAAGGUGCACCCAAAAGUUGUGAGGAGAGGAGGAGAGUGGUGGAGCAUGUCGGGCUGGGAGAGGAAAGCUGCAAGCUGCGUUCAAAACCAGACCAAGUAGCUGGAAACGGAGUGACUUCCCAGUGUAACACAUAAUGCCUGUGCCCCGCCACGGUGUGACCAAACCUCCCAGUGCCAGCAGGCAUUGCCAUGGGCACAGAUGCCUCAGUAGCGAGACACGACAUGUGUGACUAAGACAGACAAAACCCGAAGCACAAAGCAAGAUAAGCAAUUGCGUAGCAUUUACAAAAAAUUGUUUAAAAAGCAGGCAAAUGCCUUGCCACGACCAUCACAGCCCUGUGCCCCUCCCUCUGCUUUGUGGCUGCUGCAUCCAUUUGUCAUUGUAAAUUAAAUUUUCUCUGUUUAGGACUCCACCUCCAUUUUUGCAGACAUUUUUGAGAAGCUUAUUGCUUCUGGGCAGGAAAUGUAUCUUAAGGGUGGAUGCUUUGACCUUUCUUUUUACUUCUUCAGACACUCAGAGAUUAUAAAAUAAUUCCUGGGCUCUAGGUGCAUCCACCCACCAAGCGUAUGUAUUUCCUUCGAUACGAUACGUUCCAAGGUGACCAGCAGCCUGCCUGCCUCAAGGAAUCAGAGCCCAGCAUGCCUGCCAGAGGUAAUGGAGAUGAAUCCAUUUUGCCCUUUAAAACUUUAAUUGAUGCAAAGACAGGAGUAGGGUUUGUUUUUUUUUUUUUACUAGUUUUGCUCAAUUUUAAUCACACAGUCAAAAGGCUGAUUUAGAAAAUGUGAGCCAUUAAAAAAAAAUAGUGAAAUGCUGUAGUGAUGUUGAAGUCAGCGUGCAAUUUUUUUUUUUUUUUUAGUUAAUUAUAUGUGCAACCCAAUAUAAAAUGUGAAUCUCUCUGGUGUCUUUGUUGGUGGGACUGAGAUAAAUGUACCCAUUUGAAUGAUAGCUGUGCUGAAAUAACAAUCUAUUGUUAUAAUGCUAUUAUUACCACUUUUUAUUUACUUGUUGCCAUUUUAAACCUAUGCUAAAAAGUGUUGUGUACAUAGUCUGUUCCUUUAUGUGUAAGUUGCUAUAAAAACAAAGGUUCAGUUGACAUUGAAAUAAAAGUUUCAGUAUCUCCAUGGCAGGGGGAAGGAUUCUACUCUACGCUGUCAAGAGGGCAGUCAAGAAAAGGAAGUGACACUUGACUUCUCAAAGCACCACCUCUGUUUCCAAAGAGGUCUGUGUUUGAGCAGAAGGAAUGUCAGAUGAGGAAUGAAUCUGAAGCCGUAUUACUGGAAACCUUUAAGAAAAUACCCGACUCUCCAGCACGUUAUCCCAAAACAGCCAAAGGGGAAUGGCAUUUGCCCCUACAGAAACUGCACAGGCUGUUCUGAGAGCUGGAGGUACAUGGUGCCUUCCAGAUACGUGGCAAGG